ACUCCAGCAGAUGUGUUAGACACCUCAUUACAGUCUCUCAACGGUAGAGAAAUGGCUCCUACUUGGACUUUGCUGUCACAGGUCCCAUCUAGAUUGAAGAUGUGUUGAAGACAGUCGGAGCUUUCAUCUUUGCGUGCAUCUCAGCCUUCAGCACAGAGCUCAGGCCAGCCCAAGCCUUCCCAGAGUGGACAGCUCAGCUAAGAGGAGUUUGGUUGGGUGAUGUCAGACUCCACAUCACACUCCCGUGGAACCUUUGCUCCUCUAAAUCCCAGGCCUGUUCUACCACUAAGCUCACUUAUAUGUUUGUUUUGUUUUUGGCCAUUAGGCAUAGCAGGGCUGCUAUUGGGCAGCUACUUUAGAGUCCUUUAGUAUUUCUGGGCAGUUAAGAAGCUCCCUAAACAUGCUCAAGGAAUUCCAAGAAUUUCUUGAAGAAAGUGUUGCCUCAUUUCACAACACUGACCUAGCCAGCUGUGUGUGGGAGUUGGUGGGAGGUUAGGAUAGGAGGCACAUUUUUUAUUCAAGUGUGAGAAAACUAAUAAAAUUCUCUUUAAAAAUGUAAACAUAUAUAUUAAUGCCUAGAAUGGCUACUUGGG